CGUCUAUAUACGUAUAGCAUAUCAAUAAGCGGAGGAAAAGAAACUAACUAGGAUUCCCUCAGUAACGGCGAGUGAAGCGGGAAGAGCUCAAAUUUGAAAUCUUCAAGGUUCUACCUUGACGAAUUGUAGUUUAAAGAAGUGUUUUCUGUUGGAGUUUUGGUAAAAGUUCUUUGGAAUAGGACAUCAUAGAGGGUGAGAAUCCCGUAUUUGACCAUUAUUUCCAACUUUGUGAUACACUUUCAAAGAGUCGGAUUGUUUGGGAAUGCAGUCCAAAAUGGGUGGUAAAUUUCAUCUAAAGCUAAAUAUUGGCGAGAGACCGAUAGCGAACAAGUACCGUGAGGGAAAGAUGAAAAGAACUUCGAAAAGAGAGUUAAACAGUACGUGAAAUUGUCAAAAGGGGAGCGUUUGACACCAGUGUUGUUUUCUCGAAAAUCAAUUAAAAAUGGUGGGAUUUUGUGUUGUAUUGACUUUAUCAGCUUUCUGCACUCUUUUCUUGUCUUUUUUAAUGCACUUUUCGUUUAACAAGUCAACAUCAAUUUCUUUUGCUGUAAAAGGGUCAUUGGAAGGUGGCUUUCUUUUCGGAGAAAGUGUUUAUAGCCUUUGACUUCUGCAAUCGGAGAGAUUGAGGUCUGCAGCGUAGAUCCUUCGGGGUUAGAUACAUUUGUGCUAAGUUAUAGCCUUUCAUAGACAACUUGUUGACUAUGAUCAGUCAUGUAGCUUACUCGCUUAUGUUAUUUUACCUACGCUUAGGAUGUUGACGAUCAGCUGAGCGCG
rnacentral:rRNA from 1 species